GGGAAUUGUUUUUAUGACAGAGAAGAAUGAAGCUUUUUGAUCGUGAAGAAAAGUGAGUUAGAUUUAAAAAGGAAAACUUUUUAGGAAGGAUAAAGGACAUUCAGUGAAAGGAGUAACAUGCACUCAUCCUCUAAAAACAGUGUUCUUUGAUAUGUGAGAGAGGAGGAAAUAAAAGAAAAAAAGUCAGUGUUUUAAAUCUGUCACUAAAUAUCAUCUAAAAGUCCCAUAAGUCAACCAGGUGCAUCAGUGCACACAGAAAACAAUGUAACGUAAACCGUAGUGUAGAUAUUUUUAGUUUCUAGUCAAGAACCCAACGUUCUUGAAGAGGAUCCAAUUACAAGUUUUGGGGAAUAGGAAAUCCUAAUGAGUGUAGGACAUCAUGCUGACGGAAGGUGAGGAUAAUCUCAGAUGUCUGGAGAAGCAAUAAAAAGUAAGUUAGGGCAGGAGAGAGGCAAGAAAGCCUGAAAGAAUCCCC
rnacentral:lncRNA from 1 species